GAAAUGCGAUAAGUAGUGUGAAUUGCAGAAUUCAGUGAAUCAUCGAAUCUUUGAACGCACAUUUCGCCCCUCGGCAUUCCGUGGGGCAUGCCUGUUCGAGCGUCAUCUACACCCUCAAGCUCUGCUUGGUGUUGGGCGUCUGUCCCGCCUCCGCGCGCGGACUCGCCCCAAAUGCAUUGGCAGCGGUUCCUUGCCCCCCUCUUUGCGCAGCACAUUGCCAUUCGAGGCGGCGGCGGCCCGCGUCCAACAAGCUCAACCCCCCCGUCUUUGACCUCGGAUCAGGUAGGGAUACCCGCUGAACUUAAGC
rnacentral:misc_RNA from 1 species